rnacentral:miRNA from 1 species
UGGACCUAAUGGUCAGGGGUUCCUUUACCUUUACCUAAGUUAAAAAGGUAAAGGUAAAGGGACCCCUGACCAUUAGGUCCA